GUGCUUGCUUCGGCCGCACAUAUACUAAAAUUGGAACGAUACAGAGAAGAUCGGCAUGGCCCCUGCGCAAGGAGCAAAUUUGUGAAGCGUUCCACAUUUUU
ensembl:snRNA U6 U6 spliceosomal RNA